UACAGAGGUCCCGAGCGUUGUUCGGAUUCACUGGGCGUAAAGGGUGCGUAGGUGGCGAGGUAAGUCGGAUGUGAAAGCUCGGAGCUCAACUCCGAAAUGGCAUUGGAAACUACCUUGCUCGAGGGUUGGAGGGGGGACUGGAAUACUUGGUGUAGCAGUGAAAUGCGUAGAUAUCAAGAGGAACACCUGAGGUGAAGACGGGUUGCUGGGCCGACACUGACGCUGAGGCGCGAAAGCCAGGGGAGCAAACGGG
rnacentral:rRNA from 1 species